UCUAGUCUCAGAAUGCAGGUUCACUGCAUUGGGUUAUAUGGCAGCGUAGACUCAUAUAUGCCAGUUCAACCUGCAUUAUAGGAGUCUGCACUGACCAUGGUGAUGCAGUCCAUUGUAGGGCAGAGUAAAAGGUAAAGGUAAAGGUUUCCCCGGACAUUAAAUCCAGUCAUGGGGGUUGGUGCUCAUCUCCAUUUCUAAGCCGAAGAGCCGGCGUUGUCCGUAGAUACCUCCAAGGUCAUGAUUGCAUGGAACGCCGUUACCCUCCCACCGGAAGGUAUUGAUUGACUCACAUUUACAUGUUUUCAAACUGCUAGGUUGGCAGAAGCUGGAACUAACAGCGGGUGCUCACUUCGUUCCCGGGAUUUGAACCUGUGACCUUUCAGUCUGCAAGUUCAGCAGCUCAGCGCUUUAACACACUGAGCCACCAGAGGCUCAGUAGAAGGAGCCUAAUCAAGCCACCUGUAAAGGCCUCUUCCUCUUUUGUCUCUUCCACUGUGUCAUGUUGUCUCAGGAUACCUCCUGGUGAGGUGGUUUGAGCAUUGGAUUUUGUCUUUGGAUAAGGUAAAGGUAAAAGUUUUCCCCUGACAUUAAGUCUAGUCAUGUCAGACUCUGAGGGUUGGUGCUCAUCUCCAUUUCUGAGAUGGAGUGAAUAUUAUGAUAGUAAAGGUAAAGGUUUUCCCCUGACAUUAAGUCUAGUUGGUGCUCAUCUCCAUUUCUAAGCCGAAGAGCCGGCAUCGUCCGUAGACAUCUCCAAGGUCAUGUGGCCGGCAUGACUGCAUGGAGUGUCGUUACCUUCCCGCCAGAGCUGUACCUAUUGAUUUACUCACAUUUACAUUUUUUCAAACCGCUAGGUUGGCAGAAGCUGGGGCUAAUGGCGGGCGCUCACCCCACUCCCUGGAUUCCAACUGCCAACCUUUCAGUCAGCAAGUUCAGCCGCUCAGCGGUUUAACCCACUGGGCAACCAGGGGCUCCUACAAGGCUUCAAAUCCCCACUUGACUAUAGAAAGACACCUUUGAUGACUUUGGACGAGUCACACUUUCUCAGGCUCAGAGGAACGCAAUGGAAAACCUGCUCUGGACAAAUCUUGGCAAGAAAACCCUGAGAUAGGUUCACCUUAGGCUAGGGUUGGAAAAGACAUGAAGGCAUACAACAACAACAACAACAACAACAACAUAGAGGCUGUUGUCCAACAGAGGCAACCCUCCCUGAAGAAAUCUUGUCAAGAAAAUUCUGUGAUGACAAGUUUUUCUUAGAGCAUCAUCAGUUGGAAAUAACUUGAAGGAACAUAGCAGCCUGUACUGCGUUGUGUUGACUUGUGAUGAAAAUUUGGACUCUCUGGACCUUUUAUUUAUCUUUUUGGGGAACCAUGGUAUCCACAGAACGUUCCUCCAGCACCAUCAUUCAGAUCAUUGAUCUCCUUGCCCUGCCAGCUUUCUUCAACAUCCAAUUUUCGUAUUUAUAGAGAGAUACUGAAAUUUUAUAUGGUACGGACAGUCCCACCUGAGAGGUGUAAAGGUUCGAGUGUUUUACUGGGGCUUUGGGAGACUAGGUUUUGAAUCCUUACCUUGCUAUGGAAACCCACCGUCUCUCAGCUUCAGAGGAAGGUAAUGGCAAACCACCUUGAAAUAAAUACUACUCAAGAAAGCCCUAGGAUAGGGUUUCUAUAAGUUGGAGAUGAACUUGAAGGCAUAUGACAACUGCAAAUCAGUCACAGCUUUACACUUGAGGAUCAUGUCUAGUUCCUUCAUGAUCCUCUUCCGACUCAUAGUCUCCUUUGGAAUUCUUAACAAUGGCCUGCCUUUCAGUUAAUGACCAAGCUAAGGUUUGAACUCCACUGCAUGUCUAUGUACUAAACAAGAGAGGAAAAUGCAAAUAGCAUGGAAUCGGGAGAAGUGAAAGUAGUCAGACCCAGCAUUUGGCAAGAGGAACUCCACCGUGUUCCUGUGGUCCACCUUACACGUCUCUUAGAGCUGUGACAUGUUCCCAUCUGGAUGGCCUCCUGUGCUGUAGUCAGUGUUUCUGCAUAUGCCUUCAUGCCACCUGUUGAUAUAUGGCAACCCCAUGAAUUUUGUAAGGUUUUCUUAGAGAAGAAAUACUCAGAGGUGCUUUGUCAAAUGAAAAUUCCACUAGGCACACUGCAAACUGCUGUACUUUCUGUCUAUCAUAGCUUGAACAACACAUUGUGUUGUCAUAGCAGCAAGUGGAUAACAAGCUCAGACUCAGGUCUCAGAAAGUUUGCUGAUUCCUGACACCAGCCUAUGUUGGUUAGGGGAUUCUACAAGUUGGAAUUGCCGCAAAAUAUUUUAAUGAACUCUGUUUCAUUAAAUGCAUACAAGCCUACACCAGUGUUGUAUAUUGGCUUACUUCAGAUGUGCAGAUAUAUGCAUGUUUGGUUUGCAGAAAGAGACAGAAGCAGCUCCUGAUGGGUUGCCAUGUCACUGAGAGAGAGGUCCAACAUGGAUGUGCAUAUUCACCUGGAAAACAUUGGAAAGGUGCCAUGACUUUUGUGGCAUGAGUGGAAAUCCCAACAUGCCACACGUGGUUCAUGAGCCACAUGAUCACUACCUCUGAAUAGAUGAGAAGGAACUGUGAUUCUUUUCCUUUUACCUCCAAAUUUGGGUGGAAGCGAAUGACAUUCAUCUCAGUGAGAUUGUGAAUUUGUUCUGGGCUUUAGCAUGUAUUUUUAAAGGAGCUAUUCAAGGUGUUGAAUUUGUUUUGAGAAUAGGUCUCAGCAUUUUGGAAAACUCUCUUUAAUUUGGGAUCCAAUUCCUUAGUGAAUUCAGUGCUCUACUGAUGUGAAAGCUAGCAGCUGCCACGGUUGAUAUCAAAAUGGGACAAUGUUUGCAUUGUAAAGAUAAGGUCGUUGGUCAUACCACUGUGUCUCUUUGCCAAUGAUGCUGCAUGGUAAACUCACUUGUUCUCCAUUUGUUUUCCGCUAUUCAGUUUGCUUGGUUGCCAAGCAACGUGCAUUGCUAGGUAUUUACAUUAGCCAUUAGCGCAUGGCAUGAUUUUCUCAGUUUAUGCUUAAAAACAAGCAUGGACUUGAAAAUGUUUUUUAUGGCCAUGGACCUGAAGAUAUGUCAGGUUCUCAGAGAGUGAAGUCAUUUGCACACUCUCUCUUUCACACACACAGACAUAUACAUACAUACAUACAUACAUACAUACAUACAUACAUACAUAUAGAGGAACACACUAGCAGACAUGCUCCCCAAUUAUGUGCAAUUUGUGUUGCAAUCUAUUUUAUGGCAUUUCUUCUGGUCAUUCUCUUCAUUGCAUUCCACAGUCAGACUUGUCUCAUCAAAGCAAUAUAAAGUGAAAAUAUGCAGGCUACAAGUAGCUUAAUUGUUUCUCUUCAAACUUUAUGCACAACAGCUAUUUAUGGUAUGCCACCAUCAUUUGGGAGAUCAUUUAAUAUACAUUUAUCCACAAUUAUCUUCACUUCAUAUUGAAAUUGAUGAACACGUAUUUUAUGUUUGAACUGCAUUGGUUUGAAAGGUAAAGGUUUCCCCUGACAUUAAGUCUAUUCGUGUCCUAUUCUAGGGGUUGGUGCUCGUCUCCAUUUCUAAGCCGAAGAGCCGGUGUUGUCCGUAGACAUCUCCAAGAUCAUGUGGCCAGCAUGACUGUAUGGAGUACCUAUUGAUCUACUCAUAUUUUCAUGUUUCCGAACUCCUAGGUUGGCAGAAGCUGGGGCUAACAGCGGGAGCUCACCCCGCUCCCAGAUUCGAACCACCGACCUUUCAGUCAGCAAGUUCAGCAGCUCAGUGGUUUAACACUUUAUAUAUAUUAUAAAUUGCAUAGAAUUUCCCCAAAUGAGUUUUUCAGCUGGUAUAAUAGAACAGGCAAAGCUAGUUGCACUGUCACAAUUCUUCCUCUAGUAUCUCUCCUUUAGCGUCUUUCCUAUUCAUUCAAACAGACAGGCACUCCAAAUCUCUCAAUCUUUGGAAAGUCCAGGGUGAUCUGUAAACCAAUUUGAAAAUUGGAAAAAGGGUUUUUUUUUUCCGUUCCUGGGAACUCUCCCCAGUGAGAUUAGAUCAGCACCCUCUCUCCUGAUCUUCAAGGGAAAAAAACAAAAGUUGUGGUUGUGAGACCAGGCUUUUGGCCAGUAAUGCAAUGCAAAGAAUAAUCAGGAAAUAUGUGCUAUGACAAUUGGAAUGGCCACGGUGUACGAUUUUGGGAUCAUGUGAUUUUAAUAUUUAUAUUAGGAUGUUUUUAAUUUUUGUCUUAGAGCUUACAUGCUGUAUAUGCCUAUGUUUAAUGGUUUUAAUGAUUUUAAUUUAUAGUUAUAUGUUAGUGUUUAGUUAUUGUGAUAUUAUUGUAUUAUAUGUAUGCUGGCAUUAAAUUCUUAUGCACUUUUACGCAUCAGCCCUAUCCUCAAAAUUGAUUUGCACCAGUCCGCCCACCCAUGCCCAGAAAUUGAUUUUUAUUUCAGGCUUAUUGGUUGUUGGUUUGAUAGUUGCCUUUUUAUUUUAUUUUAUAAUUGUUGUUGUUCUAUUCUGUUUUAUAAUAUUGUUUAUGUAUUUUAGUGUGUUAUAUGUUAACUAUGUUGAUCGGGCUUGUCCCCAAGUAAACCGCCCAAAUCUCUCUGGGGAGAUGGAGGCAGGGUACAAAAAUAAAGUUGUUGUUGUUGUUGUUGUUAUGUUAUUAUUCUUGUCAUUAAUAUGUUGUAAACCUCCUUGAGUCCCCCCCAGGGGUGAGAAAGGCGAUAUAUAAAUAUACUAAAUAAAUGAAAUAAAUAAUACAUUCCUCGAUUCUUUA